rnacentral:misc_RNA from 1 species
UACAUUAUCUAUUAUUUAAAUAAAGUGUACACUGUAUGAUGUUCACAUGCACAUCGAGUUCGUUCACAUGGUUAAGUUGCACAUGCGUGAAAAGUAACUACUUACUUCUACGUCUGCGCACUUUGAUUCAUUGGUAAUUUUUCUUGAAUGAGUGCCAAAUUAGGCGGGAACGAUCCCACUGCAUUGUACGCUAGGUAGUUUACGUUUAGUCUAUCAUCAUUGAUCAACACAUUUUUGAGUAAACUGUAGAGCCAACUGACAAUUUUCAGAAAUAAAUCUCGAGGAUUUUUAAAGCGAUCUUACAGUAUAUUUCUGAUAUAGGCCUAGGUAGCCUUUCCCCCACACAGCACGUCGACUGGUGUUCGAUCAGUCAACAACAAGGUGAAACGUGGUGUUGUUGCCGUGGCGAGUGGAUAUUUUUUUUAUGAUGUUCGUGGCAAUGCAAUUUCAUCAAUAAUGUUGGGAAAGCCAACUAUCAUGAACUUCGUAAGUGGUAACAAAUUGAUACCAACUUCAGGGCCAGCCAUGCAUUCUAGGGAGGAACGUGGAAUUUCAUACAGCAGUGACUCAUCCG